UGGUGGAGUGAUUUGUCUGGUUAAUUCCGAUAACGAACGAGACCUCAGCCUGCUAACUAGUUUGCUGCUUAAUUUUCGAGCGCAAUACUUCUUAGAGGGACAAUUCGUGUUUAAUUGAAAUGAAGUGAGCUCAUAACA
rnacentral:rRNA from 1 species